rnacentral:lncRNA from 1 species
AAUCAAGGGGAGGGUAGAUAUGUUCUACCUCUUGACAUGUAGUAUGAACAUAAAGUGGAUUUUUACUUGCUAAAGUAGAAAGAAGAUCCCAACAUUUGAUGAGAAAAUAUACAGAAGAUGUGGAUCUCUCUUUUGGGCAGAUGAAAGUAUAUUGAGUUUACACAUGGUGACAGUACAGAUUUGUUUUUAAUUACAAAAGAACAUGGCUACUGCCUUUGAAUUCUCAACAUUCAGCGUGGUCAGCAGUAGUAAACCUGGCAAUUUGAGGGCAACCCAAGUAAUAGCAGCAACAGCAACAACAGACCUUAAUCAAGCAAUUAAUAUGUGCCAUGUCUCUUGCUAGACAUUUUAACAAGAGUUAUUUUACCUAUGUCACACACUUGUAAUUAUCUGCAUAGUAAAUAAAUGCUUUUAAGGCAUAGGUCACAUGUCUGACUCACAGCUGCGAUGUGGUGGAUCCAAAUCUCUCUGAGGCCAAAUACUGCCCAGCUCGAAUGAACGCUAUGCUCCAUGCCUGAAACAACUGCUCCAGCCCUCAGAAAAGAGUCUCCCAUUCAACUGAAGUCUGCAUAUCAGAUUCCCGUGGGAUAAUUCAUAAAGGCUCCUUGAAGUUAAUUCUGGGUAUAUCCUGAAAUAGAGGGUCUCCUCUGUUUUUUCUUCUUUUUUUCCACAACUGAGGAGACACUAGUGCCUACUUAUCUCAAUAAUGGGAUUUCUCUUUGAUGCAAUUGCAGUUUUUACUAGGCCUUUCAAUAAAUAUGUUGAAUAUU